ACUCAAAUGAAUUGACGGGGGCCCGCACAAGCGGCGGAGCAUGUGGCUUAAUUCGAUGCAACGCGAAGAACCUUACCAAGGCUUGACAUGCUGGGAAAUCCUCCAGAGAUGGGGGGUCCUUCGGGGUCCAGCACAGGUGGUGCAUGGCUGUCGUCAGCUCGUGUCGUGAGAUGUUGGGUUAAGUCCCGCAACGAGCGCAACCCUUGUCCUAUGUUGCCAGCGGUUCGGCCGGGGACUCAUAGGAGACUGCCGGGGUCAACUCGGAGGAAGGUGGGGACGACGUCAAGUCAUCAUGCCCCUUACGUCUUGGGCUGCACACAUGCUACAAUGGCCGGUACAAUGGGCUGCGAGACCGCGAGGUGGAGCGAAUCCCAAAAAGCCGGUCUCAGUUCGGAUCGGAGUCUGCAACUCGACUCCGUGAAGUCGGAGUCGCUAGUAAUCGCAGAUCAGCAUUGCUGCGGUGAAUACGUUCCCGGGCCUUGUACACACCGCCCGU
rnacentral:rRNA from 1 species